rnacentral:rRNA from 1 species
UACGUAGGGGGGCAAGCGUUGUCCGGAAUCAUUGGGCGUAAAGAGCGUGUAGGCGGCCCGAUAAGUCCGCUGUGAAAGUCCAGGGCUCAACCCUGGAAUGCCAGUGGAAACUGUCGGGCUGGAGUCCGGAAGAGGCGAGUGGAAUUCCUGGUGUAGCGGUGAAAUGCGCAGAUAUCAGGAGGAACACCAAUGGCGAAGGCAGCUCGCUGGGACGGUACUGACGCUGAGACGCGAAAGCGUGGGGAGCAAACAGG